GCUAGUAUGAAUGGUUGAACGAAAUACAAACUGUCUCACUUUUAAAAUUUUAAUAAUUUAGCUUUCUAGUCAAAAGGCUUGAAUGAUAUUAAAGGACGAGAAGACCCUAUAGAACUUUAUAUAUUUUUAUUUGUAUUUAUAUAGUAAAAUAUUUUUAUACAUAUAAUAAUAUAUUUUGUUGGGGUGACAGGGAAAUUUAUUUAACUUUCUUAAAAUUAUAACAUAGAUUAAUGAAUAUUUGAUCCAUUAUUAUUGAUUAAUAGAAUAAGUUACCUUAGGGAUAACAGCGUAAUUUUGUUGGAGAGUUCAUAUCUAUAACAAAGUUUGCGACCUCGAUGUUGAAUUAAAGAAAUUUUAGAGUGCAGAAGCUUUAAG
rnacentral:rRNA from 1 species